GCGCUCGUAGCUCAGCUGGAUAGAGUGCCUGACUACGGAUCAGGAGGUCGGGAGUUCGAAUCUUCCCGAGCGCGCCA
rnacentral:tRNA from 1 species